rnacentral:rRNA from 1 species
AAUGAACGCUGGCGGCGCGCCUAAUACAUGCAAGUCGAGCGAGAAGACGUAGCAAUACGUUUGUAAAGCGGCGAACGGGUGAGGAAUACAUGGGUAACCUACCCUCGAGUGGGGAAGUAACUAGCCGAAAGGUUAGCUAAUACCGCGUACGCCUCUUGGACUUCGGUUCAGGGAGGAAAGCGAUACCGUGGGUAUCGCGCUCUUGGAUGGGCGUCAUGUCCUAUCAGCUUGUUGGUGAGGUAACGGCUCACCAAGGCUUCGACGGGUAGCUGGUCUGAGAGGACGGAUCAGCCACACUGGCACUGCGACACGGGCCAGACUCCUACGGGAGGCAGCAGUAAGGAAUAUUGCGCAAUGGGCGAAAGCCUGACGCAGCGACGCCGC